rnacentral:rRNA from 1 species
AUUGAACGCUGGCGGCAGGCCUAACACAUGCAAGUCGAACGCGUAGCGGACGGGUGAGUAAUGCCUGGGAAACUGCCUGAUGGAGGGGGAUAACUACUGGAAACGGUAGCUAAUACCGCAUACCAUCAGAUGUGCCCAGAUGGGAUUGGCUGGUUGGCGGGGUAACGGCUCACCAAGGCGACGAUCCCUAGCUGGUCUGAGAGGAUGACCAGACACACAGGAACUGAUCCACGGUCCAGACUCCUGCGGGAGGCAGCAGUGGUGAAUAUUGCACAAUGGGCGCAAGCCUGAUGCAGCCAUGCCGCGUGUAUGAAGAAGGCCUUCGGGUUGUAAAGUACUUUCAGCGGGGAGGCGUUACCCGCCGAAGGAGCACCGGCUAACUCCGUGACAGCAGCCGCGGUAAUAC